UUAUAUAAAUUAUAUAUUCUGUGAAUUAUUAUUUUUCUUUUCUGCAUUUCACCUCUGCUAUAGUAUAUGCCUUAUACCUGGCAUUGUAUAAUAAAUAUUGUUGUCUCUGUAACAGUAUGCUUAUGUUCCUAGGUUCUUCCAUGCUGAUGGCUGUGCUCUAGUCAUAUCUCCUGUCGAAGAACAUUUUUAGACAUUAUGAACCAUGAAUAAGUUUAGCUCCAACCCCAGUUAAGCAGACCUGAGCAGCUGAUCAAGGAUCAGCAGAAACUCUGCAGAACGGUGGUCCUCCAGCCCAGGACUGGACACCAGUGUUAGUGUCUGUCUCAGAAGCUGAAGAAAAAAGGUCACACCUUAUAGGAAAUAAACGCCUCCUAAGUGUACGGAAAUACCUGGCUGAGGAGAUCAGUGACAUAAACCAGAUAAAACUGUCAUUGGUAAGUGUUUGCAUAUCCAUAUCCGAAUGGAAUUGCUACAACCUCUUAUCUAAUAUGACUCGAAGUCUGAGACAGCUACAAGCCACAAAAACAGUUCAUAGUUCCUGCAUUUCUAUAAUGCAUUAAUGAAUAACAAUAAUUAAAAUAAAAUGUAAUGUCAAGGUUUUGUGUUAAUUCCAGCUAUGUUGAGUAUUCUGUGAAUAAUUUUGAUUUUAGGUGCAUAUUCUUAAUUCUUUGCAAAACAACCUGAACUGUUUGCUAUUGAAAGGUUGGUAUGAAGUUUAAAUAAAUAAAAACAUUAUAUUCUUGACAAAACCUGUGUACAGUUUGUAUUAAUAAUUUAAAUUAUUUACUUAUAUUAAUUAAUGGCCUAAUUACCAGCUAUCAGUUAAACAUUCAAAUCAGAACCAAUAUAAAACUGCAACGAAAACUAUUAAAUAUAUGCAAAUAAAGACCAGUACAAACUUGCA